AUUGAACGCUGGCGGCAUGCUUUACACAUGCAAGUCGAACGGUAACAGGCCGCAAGGUGCUGACGAGUGGCGAACGGGUGAGUAAUGCAUCGGAACGUGCCCAGUCGUGGGGGAUAACUGCUCGAAAGAGUAGCUAAUACCGCAUACGAUCUAUGGAUGAAAGCGGGGGACCGUAAGACCUCGCGCGAUUGGAGCGGCCGAUGUCAGAUUAGGUAGUUGGUGGGGUAAAGGCUCACCAAGCCAACGAUCUGUAGCUGGUCUGAGAGGACGACCAGCCACAGUGGGAAUGAAACCCGGCCAGGCCCCCUCGGGGGGGCGGAGGGGGGAAUUUUUGGACAAGGGGCGCAAGCUUACCCCAGAAAUGCCGCGGGCAGAAAGAAGUCCUUGGGUUUGAAACCUGUUUUUGUACGAAAGAAACCGGCUCUGUUUAACCCCGGGGGCAAAGGACGGUACCGAAAAAAAAGGCCCCGCCUACCUCCGUC
rnacentral:rRNA from 1 species